UACGUAGGGUGCAAGCGUUAAUCGGAAUUACUGGGCGUAAAGCGUGCGCAGGCGGUCUGUUAAGACCGAUGUGAAAUCCCCGGGCUUAACCUGGGAACUGCAUUUGUGACUGCAUCGCUGGAGUGCGGCAGAGGGGGAUGGAAUUCCGCGUGUAGCAGUGAAAUGCGUAGAUAUGCGGAGGAACACCGAUGGCGAAGGCAAUCCCCUGGGCCUGCACUGACGCUCAUGCACGAAAGCGUGGGGAGCAAACAGG
rnacentral:rRNA from 1 species